UAAAGGAUUUUGAUCUGGAACAUAAGCACUCCUAUAAAUCAGUAAGCCCAAGUUUUAGAAGGGAAGAAGAAAUGAAGACACAAAAGCAAGAUACCUGAAUGGUCAGUAAGCACUUGGAAGCAUGUUCCACGUCAUGACUUACAGAGAAAUGCAAGGGCUACCACUAAAUGCCCGCCAGAAAUGGUACGAUGGAAAGAACAGAAAAUACUAGAGUGAAUGUGGAACUGGAAUUCUCAUACACUACUUGUGGGGAAUAAAAUACUAAUACUCAAAAGAACAUAGCUCAAUCUCAAGAACAUUAUGCCUAAUGACCCAGACCCCGAAUGUUACAUACUGGAUGAUUCCAUUUAUAUGCAAUUCAAGAAUGAUACAAGUGAGCAGUAGCAGGAACUUUCAAAAGUGAACUUCCUAUGUUCGAGUUCUCCGGAGCUCCGGAGACACAGAACCAAUCCUCCACAUCAGCAAAUCAAAUCCAACAAUGUGCAAAAAGAAUUAUAUACUACAACCAGGUGGGAUUUAUUCCAUGUAUGCAAGAUUGAUCCAGCUUCUGAAAACCAGUUAAUAUAAUCCAUCACAGCAAAAGGCUAAUAAAGAAAAAUCACAUGGUCAUAUCAGCAAACAGAAACAUGUGACAAAACCGAAAAUCCAUUCACAAAGCUCAGCAAACUAAAAAUAGAGGGGAAUUUCCUCAACCUGAUAAAGGGCCAAUUAACAUUAUGGUAAAAAUGUAGACACUUUCCCCCUAAGAUCAAGAGCAAGGCAAGGAUUCCCACACUUACUACUCCUCUUAGCAGUCUUUUUCAAAAUACUAGAAGUCCUAGCUAAUGCAGUGAGACGAGAAAAAGCAAUAAAAGAUCAAAAACAGAUUUGGGAAGGAAGAAAUAAAACCAUCUUUGUUUGCAGAUGACAUGAUCAUCUAUGUAGAAAAUCCCAAAGAAUCAACCAAAAAUCUCCUGAAACUAAUAAACAAUGAUGGCAGAGUUGCAGGCUACAUGGUUACAUACCAUCAAUGAAAACUCGUAUUUACAUUAGCAUCCCCCAAAAUGAAAUACUGAGGUACAAAUCUAACAAAAGUUGUAUAGAAUCUGUAUGAGGAGAACUACAAAAUACAGUUCUGAUGAAAGAAAAUAAACGAGAUAUAAACAGAGAUACUCCACGUCAUAGACAGGAAAAAAUAUUAAGAUGUCAUUUUUUUUAAGUGUUUAUUUAUUUAUUUUGAGAUAGAGGGAAAGCACCAGUGGGGGAAGGGGAGAGAGGGAGAGAGAGAGGGAGAGAGUGAAUCCCAAGCAGGCUUUGCACUGUCAGCGCAAAGCCUGACUCGGGGCUCAAACCCAUGAACUGUGAGAUUGUGACCUGAGCUGAAAUCAAGAGUAAGAUGCUUAACUGACUGAGCCACUCAGGCCCCCCUAAGAUAUCAUUUUCCCCAACUUGAUCUACAGAUUUCAAUGCGCUUCCAUUUAAGAAUCCCAGAAUGUUAUACUGUGGAUAUGGGCAAACUAAUACGUGGAAAGACAGAAGACAAGCAGUGUAUCGAAGAAGAACAAAGCGUGACAGGAUGGAUACCACCCACCUUCAAGACUUGAUCAAGACAGCAUCGUGAUGGCAAAAGACACAAACAGAUGUCAGACUUGGGCCUAACAUUUCUAUGAAGAGGCGCCAGCUAGAACAGCUUCAUUGCGGGAAGAAUAUCAAACUGGAAGAGAAAGUGCACGGCCCACCGCCAGCUCAUAAACGGCUUCGCUGGAAUGCAGCCACCCUGGCUCGUUCAGGUACGUCUGCGACCACUGUGCCGUGCCGGGACACGGACUUGUACGGCUGGCAGAGCCUGAAGUAUUUAUUACCUGGCCCCUCUGGGGAAAAGUCUGCCAACUUCCGGCACUGGGGAAGAAGAAAACCCCAAACAAAUGAGAACAGGAGUUUUUAAAAAUAAAAAUGUAGCUUUUUCUAAAUACUACUGAUGUAAUUAUAAAAACGUGGCAAGUCACUGAAGGUACACAAUCUGAAAACUAGCUGUUCUUCACUGAAGGUUUUGCAAAUUGUAGCCACAGAAAAAAAGCACGUGGCUGUGUCCUCCAGGACGAUAAACAAGGAAUAUUUGGCCCUUUUUCAGUAUCUCCUCCCCACUAUUUACAUUCAAAUAUUACUAUUAACUUAUUCAAGUCCCCGAAUAGUUACAUAUAUUAUCACUUGGCUUUUUUUGGUUUUAAGAUUUGUCUUUUAAAGGAAGCUCUACGUCCAACGUGGGGCUCGAACUCUGACCCCAAGACCCAGGAGAUGCUCGCUCCACCGGCUGAGACAGCCAGGCGACCCCUGAAGUUGGCUUUUGUUUGCCUCUUGCAACCUCUAAGACAGAACAUGACUAUACAUAAGGCAACUUGGUUCUUUCUCCUGCUUUAUAGUACCAACUCUAAAACGUCUGCAGAAAAACCUAAAAUCUCAGACAGUUCUAAAUCUCGUUCUUAGUCCCUAAGCUAUUAUACUUUCAUUAUGACACAGUACCUUCAACGCUACCUAAGAGCACUUUUAUUGGCAUUUUAAAAUAUCUUUUCUUUUGCCAGUUGAAUUCACACUUUUACUCAGCCUGCAGACAGGUUUACAGUGUGUACUUCUGAGAGCUCAUCACCCCACACAUCUGCUCUUGUUUUUCUGGGCUGGUGCACUCGCAGCACGUGAACAGUGACAGAACGAGCGGACAUUUCCAAUUCAGUCUCUUGGGAGAAGGGUCUUGCUGAUAAGAGCCUCUUGGUGGUCAGUCUUUCCCUCACUGCCUUACCCAGAGUGGCCGAGUGCAACCAAAUAGGUCAACGGCAGGGAAGUCUGUCGGUUUUCCUGUUGACCGGCGCGGCACACACGAGGCUUUCCCCUCCAGAACCACAGCGCUCACGCGAGACUGCGCUCACCUGCAGAAACACCCUCUUUGGCUUCGGACUGGCGGGAUGCGAGCUGUAUGGGAAAAACGCCCCACUGCAAACGAGGAGAAACGUAACCACACACACCAGAGUUAAACUCAGCAUGGUUCUCUUCGUGCUUCUGGCAAGGUAGAUGAAGUUAAUCUAAAACACAAAACGCAGAAAAGGAAAAAUUACCGUCGGCAGAGAGGUGCUUUUAAGCUGCCCUUCACUUGGGAACCGGGGUCACCCGACCAGUCGUGAAGAGCGCUCGUCGGCGUGGCCGGCUCCCCGCAAGUGCCCGCGAGCAGGCUCGACUUCCGGGGGCGGGGGGCUUCCAUCAUGGGCGGCGGCUGCAGAGACCAGGGCCGCCCCCACCCGCCACGAUGGUGCCUGCGACAGGCAACCAGCCAGCGAGAGGGGCAAGGAAACAGUCAGGGUCUCGGUUCGGUCAGCGAAGAACCAGGAUGGAGACCCAACGCCGGUCAAACCGUGACCUCGCUGUACCUCUGAUCCUCUCGACACCCCUAGUUAACCACUGCACCGUAGACCCCAAUUAUCUACCAAACAUCAUGACAUCGGGUUUUUAUGAAAGAACUGGAGGCGGGAUUUUAAGCAUGAGCGAGCCCACUUCAACAAAACUCAAGUUCCACUCCCAAUGCUUUUGUAAUGUGCCAACGUGCCGGCUUCAUCUAAAUUUGCAUUUAGAUGUACCUUCAAGACUCUACCCGUGGGCCUGCACAUAAGGAAAAUCUGUAGCACAAAGUAACACGGUCCCCUUUGGUGCUCGGUAACCAGAGCCAACGCCGUCUAAAACAGCAGAUCUGAACUUGGGCAGGAAAAGCAAGUGGCUCCGUCCCAAGGUGGGCAUCUAGAACAGCCUAUAUAUGCUUCUACGAGCUUUUUAAUGGUAACGAAAUCAUUGAAAUAAAAGAUGUCUACAGAUCCCUUAGGGGUUCGGAAGGAGCCACACCGAUCCAAUCCCUGCUCCCCCUUCCACUCACCCUCCAGGCUUGAUAAGUAAGACUGAAGAACACGACUGUGAAAAAUCAGGCAAACAUCCACAACCAGCCAUGUCCUCUGCUACAUAACGUUAGGUUUUGUACCUACAGUGCACCAGUAUCUCAUCUGGGGUAACGUCCAGCAAAACAGUACUGGUCUCAGGACUAAGACCUUACAUUUUCUUUUUAAGAAAAAAAAAUUUUUUUUCAUGUUUAUUUACUUUUGAGAGAGACAUAGACAGAAUGCGAGUGGGUUGGGGCAGAGAGAGAGGGAGGCACAGGAUCCCAAGCAGGCUCCAGGCUCCGAGUUGUCAGCACAGAGCCCGACGCGGGGCUCAGACUCACGAGCUGUGAGAUCAUGACCUGAGCCGAAGUUGGACACUCAACCGACUGAGCCACCCAGGUGCCCCAAGACCUUACGUUUUCACACGGCGAGCACAGAAACAAGAUAGCACCCAAGGAACUGGGGCUGUUGGGGGGGGGGGGUGGGCAGUGAGUUAGCAAAACACAAUCUGUAACCCUGUCUGUCCCUCUCUGUCCUAACAGUCACGGUCCUUUAACAUGUGGCUCCUCGGCACAGUGUCAAAUACCCUGCCAAGUACUGGUGCAGAGUCUCUCGGGACAAGAUACAACCUCCCCACCACAUGCUGUGCUUCCUGCCACCUCCACCCAGCUCCCCCACAGCUGUCCUCAAACCUCCAUGGAGGCUACAGUCUGCACAUCCAUUCCCUCUUCUCCAAACCGUGAGGCUCAUCUUCUGCCCUGUCCCGCAUUUUCUGGACGCGGUUUGGUAAUGGGGGUUCCGAAAUGGGUGCAAAAUAAAACGAAGAGAAGCGCGAGAAGGAUCUGCGCGGCGUGCGCACGUGCGAGCGGUCUCAUUCCUCGUGAGGGUCCCGAUGUCACUGAGCACCACCCGGGACACCUGCUGCCCCACCGCAGGCAGGAGAGUGCCUGCUUCCUGGCAAAUAUACUAUAAACCCCCAAGGACUGAAAGGAACGCUUUCUGAAAUCUGCAUUCCGAUUCAGUUCUCCACAAUCCGAGGAGCGCAGGCCGGCUCUGCCUCAGCCACUCCGACCGCUACACGUCAACACGGAAUCACGACUGACUGAUGCCACCAGUGUCCAAGAGCCACGCGGCCACUUCACGUGAUGAUGAAAACUAAACGAGGUUUUCGGGUAUUCCAGCAGGCGUUCUCCUGAGGUUUUCCUAGUAAAAUAUAACCUAGCAGGUAAUAUACUUUAAUCCUCUCCCUAUGCUUGCUAAGAUUUCCUUACUUUGGAGGCAUUUUCAGUUUCCACAGUGAAGAUUUCAGGGUUUACUUUGUCCAGUUCUAUGUGGGACAGAACUGAAAUGCCCCACAUUCUGAUCAUCUCCUAUGAACCUUCAUCCACUGGCCCUGAUUUAAAUACACUGGGGACCCAGUUUCUAACUGAGCUGAUUCUGGAUCAGAACCUCAUCCGCGUAUGAUGAAACCCCACCAACUCCGUUCACCCUCACAGCAGCAAAACCAUCCACUAACACGUACAGAGAAUUUAAAGGCUUAAUAUUAAAACCAAAGGAAGUAGGGGCGCCUGGGUGGCUUAGUCGGUUAAGCGGCCGACUUCAGCUCAGGUCAAGAUCUCACGGUCCGUGAGUUCGAGCCCCGCGUCGGGCUCUGGGCUGAUGGCUCAGAGCCUGGAGCCUGCCUCCGAUUCUGUGUCUCCCUCUCUCUCUGCUCCUCCCCCGUUCAUGCUCUGUCUCUCUCUGUCUCAAAAAUAAAUAAAAAACGUUUAAAAAAAAAAAAAAAAAAAAAAAAACCAAAGGAAGUAAACCCUGCAAACCACAAAGAACAGUUUAGAAUUUUCCAUCCAUCCACCCCCCGAAGAUGCCAGUAAGGACUUGAUGAUUGUAUUACAGGCACAAUGGCUGGAACGCUCAGACUUCUUUCAGCUGAGCGCAAGCAACAGUGUGCAGAAGAAGCACUCUCCUGGGCUAGAUGCACAGGUGCGUGUACAACUCUUUACGGCCUCCUUAAGAGACUUCCGUGGAUGGUGCGGGCCACACACGUGGUAUUCUUACGUGCUGUCUCUCAAUCCUGACCUCCAUGAGAUGUCCUUUACUGAAUCGGUGUGGAAAGGCCCACCAUCAUCUCCGUGGAGGAAAGCACUACAAUAAAGUCACAACUACUCUUCUGUGUAGUCCCUAGCUGCAAAUCCUGCAGUGUGCCUAUGGGCGUUCAGUAGUUGCUUCCUAUCCUUCACAAUUCCAUUGGAAAGAGCCACAACACAGACGCCUGCCUCCACCAGCGGGGCCAGACCGGAGUCCUGGAGAGUACGGACGCCGUGCCGAGGGCAGAGCUUGCCCAGAGCCCGCUCUAACACAGGGGGGGUCCGCGUGGGGUCUGCCUUCUCUCUGGACAGCUGCAGGGAGGGCAAAGGCAGGACUGUCCCUGUAAGGGCAGAACGCCGACACCAGAAUGACAAGGCCUGUGACGCUCUGCAUCAUAUGUGUCCACCACCUGAGGAGAGGGGCUCCGUUACGAACUCUGCGGCCCUAGCAGCCAGGUAGCUGAACGGUAACGGAAAGAGGCUCAUCAGAACCAGUCUUCCUCCACCAGCUCUAAAAACACUAAUAAAACCACCACGUAUUUAUUAACCUUUGCCUCUAAUUAGGAAUUGUUCUAAAAAUCCACCACCAAGCAAUCUCUACCAGUUCUCACCUGGUGUGCGUUCUCCAAAUUCACGUUCAGCUGGUUUGAAGGCUGUGAGGAGAGGUACGACCAGAGGACUCGGGAGGACCAGGACGCAAAACUAAAACCCCAUUUCCCAUCUUCUUACCACACCAAACUUACUUUCUGCACACACAUGACUGUUUCUUUUGCUCAAGUGUUUCCAAGUAUAAGCAACACAAUUUCACAGAAUCGACUGUGGCUAAACUCAUCGCAUAUUCAUAUAAAACAUACAGGAAGAACUAUUUUUUAAAUGUUUUUUCCUUACAAAAUAGGAAGACAGGAUCAUCGUACAACCAGCCAAAAUGGAAGCCAGCACAACGUCAGGUGGGAUUUCUGUACCACUCCUCCCAAGGAUGGGGGUAAACAUCUCGAAUACUGCCCAGAUGAGGUACAGUGC